AGAAAUUAGAUACCGACCUUUACUGUGAUAAUUGCUAAUAUCAUGGUGUCACAGUACCAUUCAACACUAGCGAAGUGUUAGAAUGGUUACGACAGGAUCUGGAGAUUAACGAGGAGGUUGAGCAGGAGAUAGACCAAGAAGGUGAACAAGAUUUGGGGCGUGGAAAACGGAAGAAGAAGGCUAAUCAGAAUGAAGCAUUCGGUUAUUACAAGUAAAGUAGUUGUAAUAGUCUAGUUACUUUGUAAACCUGAAAUAGAAACUAUAAAUAAAACCCAUGGAUGAUGAGAUAGGCAUCCAACGAUUGAAACCAUUGUCAUCUUCCUCCUACGGCUCCUACUGGAGAUUAUCCUCUUCUUCUCACCUACGGCCCGUCACGGGAUUUCUUCCUUCCUUCUUCUCUGAUCCAAUCACGUCCAGAACGUAGCUGUUCCACAUGGUCAUGAAAGGAUUGCUAUCACAUUGUGGGAUUUCCCAAGAAAUGAAAGAAUAAGAAAGAGAGCAAGAAAGAGCAACUAUAAAAGAAGGCCAAAAUAGAAUAUCAGGCAAAUCAACUCUACCUUUGCAAGCCCUGCACUAACCAAUGAAAAAUUGACAAUGUUUAAAGAUUUUUUAAAUAAAAGAAUGAAUGGAUAAUAGAUACAGGUGUCUCUCAACAUAUGACUGUGGAAAUCAGAUUGUUUAAAACAACAAGAGCACUUGAUUAUUUAUGAUCACUAUAUUAAGUGGUGAAAACUGUAAAGUAAAACAGAUUGAGGAUAUAGAAUUAAACAAAAUUAUAAUACUAAGAAAUGUUUUAUAUAUACCAGAAUUCAGAGUAUAUUUAAUCUCAAUAAGUAAACUAUCAAUAUACAUUGAUAUAUUGAUCAUUUAUUUAUCAAACAAAAUGUGUUUGCAGUAAAACAGAGUGUGAUUGGUAA
rnacentral:lncRNA from 1 species